AUUGAACGCUGGCGGCAGGCUUAACACAUGCAAGUCGAGCGGAGAUGAGGUGCUUGCACCUUAUCUUAGCGGCGGACGGGUGAGUAAUGCUUAGGAAUCUGCCUAUUAGUGGGGGACAACAUUCCGAAAGGAAUGCUAAUACCGCAUACGCCCUACGGGGGAAAGCAGGGGAGCUUCGGACCUUGCGCUAAUAGAUGAGCCUAAGUCGGAUUAGCUAGUUGGUGGGGUAAAGGCCUACCAAGGCGACGAUCUGUAGCGGGUCUGAGAGGAUGAUCCGCCACACUGGGACUGAGACACGGCCCAGACUCCUACGGGAGGCAGCAGUGGGGAAUAUUGGACAAUGGGCGGAAGCCUGAUCCAGCCAUGCCGCGUGUGUGAAGAAGGCCUUUUGGUUGUAAAGCACUUUAAGCGAGGAGGAGGCUCUUUUGGUUAAUACCCAAGAUGAGUGGACGUUACUCGCAGAAUAAGCACCGGCUAACUCUGUGCCAGCAGCCGCAGUAAGAC
rnacentral:rRNA from 1 species